rnacentral:rRNA from 1 species
UGGCGGCGUGGUUAAGACAUGCAAGUCGGACGGGACUUUUCGUUGUAGCAAUACAGUGGGAAGUUCAGUGGCGAACGGGUGCGUAACACGUGGGCAAUCUGCCUUAAAGUGUGGGAUAGCUCGGCGAAAGCCGAAUUAAUACCGCAUGUGGCUACUGGAGACAUCUUCGGGACGCUAAAGGUGGCGCAAGCUACCGCUUUUUGAGGAGCCCGCGGCCUAUCAGCUUGUUGGUGAGGUAACGGCUCACCAAGGCGUUGACGGGUAGCUGGUCUGAGAGGACGACCAGCCACACUGGGACUGAGACACGGCCCAGACACCUACGGGUGGCAGCAGUCGAGAAUUUUUGACAAUGGGGGAAACCCUGAUCGAGCGACGCCGCGUGGAGGAUGAAGGUCUUCGGGUUGUAAACUCCCGUCAUUUGAGAACAAGGCGCGGCUAUUAACUGUAGUCGCGUUGAUAGUAUCAGAAGAGGAAGAGACGGCUAACUCUGUGCCAGCAGCCGCGGUAAUACAGAGGUCUCAAGCGUUGUUCGGAUUCAUUGGGCGUAAAGGGUGUGUAGGUGGCGCGCUAAGUCGGGUGUGAAAUUUCGGAGCUUAACUCCGAAACUGCAUUCGAUACUGGCGUGCUUGAGGACUGGAGAGGAGACUGGAAUUCUCGGUGUAGCA